UACAGAGGUCCCGAGCGUUGUUCGGAUUCACUGGGCGUAAAGGGUGCGUAGGUGGUGAGGUAAGUCGGAUGUGAAAUCUCCGGGCUCAACCCGGAAAUGGCAUUGGAAACUACCUUGCUGGAGGAUUUGAGGGGGGAUUGGAAUACUUGGUGUAGCAGUGAGAUGCGUAGAUAUCAAGUGGAACACCAGUGGCGAAGGCGGAUCCCUGGAAAAUACCUGACACUGAGGCACGAAAGCUAGGGGAGCAAACAGG
rnacentral:rRNA from 1 species